UAGGGAAUCUUCCACAAUGGACGCAAGUCUGAUGGAGCAACGCCGCGUGGGUGAAGAAGGUCUUCGGAUCGUAAAACUCUGUUGUUAGAGAAGAACACGAGUGAGAGUAACUGUUCAUUCGAUGACGGUAUCUAACCAGCAAGUCACGGCUAACUACGUGCCAGCAGCCGCGGUAAUACGUAGGUGGCAAGCGUUGUCCGGAUUUAUUGGGCGUAAAGGGAACGCAGGCGGUCUUUUAAGUCUGAUGUGAAAGCCUUCGGCUUAACCGGAGUAGUGCAUUGGAAACUGGAAGACUUGAGUGCAGAAGAGGAGAGUGGAACUCCAUGUGUAGCGGUGAAAUGCGUAGAUAUAUGGAAGAACACCAGUGGCGAAAGCGGCUCUCUGGUCUGUAACUGACGCUGAGGUUCGAAAGCGUGGGUAGCAAACAGGAUUAGAUACCCUGGUAGUCCACGCCGUAAACGAUGAAUGCUAGGUGUUGGAGGGUUUCCGCCCUUCAGUGCCGCAGCUAACGCAAUAAGCAUUCCGCCUGGGGAGUACGACCGCAAGGUUG
rnacentral:rRNA from 1 species